rnacentral:rRNA from 1 species
AUGCAAGUCGAACGCUGAUCGGAGGGUAGCAAUAUUCUCUGGUUGGAGUGGCGCAAGGGUGAGUAACACGUGGGUAAUCUGCCGGGAAGCCCAGGAAUAACUCCGAGAAAUCGGAGCUAAUGCCGGAUGUGACCGGAGGCUGGCAUCAGCCUCCGUUCGAAGUCGGGGACCGAAAGGCCUGACACUUCCCGAUGAGCCCGCGGCCUAUCAGCUAGUUGGCGGGGUAACGGCCCACCAAGGCUAAGACGGGUAGCUGGUCUGAGAGGACGACCAGCCACACUGGAACUGAGACACGGUCCAGACACCUACGGGUGGCAGCAGUCGAGAAUUUUUCACAAUGGGGGAAACCCUGAUGGAGCGACGCCGCGUGGGGGAUGAAUGGCUUCGGCCCGUAAACCCCUGUCAUUUGCGAACAAACCUCAUGGUUGAACAGAUCAUGAGCUGAUAGUAGCAGAAGAGGAAGGGACGGCUAACUCUGUGCCAGCAGCCGCGGUAAUACAGAGGUCCCAAGCGUUGUUCGGAUUCACUGGGCGUAAAGGGUGCGUAGGCGGCAGGGUAAGUUUAAGGUGAAAUCUCCGGGCUCAACCCGGAAAAUGCCUCGAAUACUAUCCUGCUGGAGGAUCGGAGGGGAGACUGGAAUUCUCGGUGUAGCAGUGAAAUGCGUAGAUAUCGAGAGGAACACCAGUGGCGAAGGCGAGUCUCUGGACGAUUCCUGACGCUGAGGCACGAAAGCCAGGGGAGCAAACGGGAUUAGAUACCCCGGUAGUCCUGGCCCUAAACGGUGCGCACUUGCUGUGGGCGGAUUCGACCCCGUCCGUGGCGUAGGAAACCCGAUAAGUGCGCCGCCUGGGGAGUACGGUCGCAAGAUAAA